rnacentral:lncRNA from 1 species
GAAUGCAGUAGAGAGAGAGUCAUGAGAGCAAUCUGAUUGGAAGUCUGAUUUGGAAAAAUCAUCCCUAUCCUCAAGGAUCUUAUAGUCUAACAGAGAAAGACAACACACAAAAGGAAGCUGAAUUUAUCUUCUGUGAUCCAGUUCAUUAGCCUCUUUGGAACUAAUGAGACAGUGGAAAGAUAAUUUCCUCAUCUGGAAAAUGAAAGGGUGCCAAAAACUUGGAAACACUUUUAUGAAGCGAUAUGAAGGGAAGAGAGCAGAACCAGGAGAAUGGUGUACACAGUAACAACAAUAACAUAUGAUGAUCAACUGUGAAAGACAACCAUUAUCAACAAAGCUAGGAUCCAGGACAGCUCCAAGAGAUUCAUGACAAAAUAAGAUAUCUGCUGCUAUAGAAGGAACAGAUGGAAUCCAAAUAAAAACUGAAACAUACCAUUCUUUACUUUAUUU